GACGAAGUCGUAACAAGGUAGCUGUACCGGAAGGUGCGGCUGGAUCACCUCCUUUUCAGGGAG
rnacentral:rRNA from 1 species